UACGUAGGGUGCGAGCGUUGUCUGGAAUUACUGGGCGUAAAGAGCUCGUAGGUGGUUUGUCGCGUUGUUCGUGAAAACUCACAGCUCAACUGUGGGCGUGCGGGCGAUACGGGCAGACUGGAGUACUGCAGGGGAGACUGGAAUUCCUGGUGUAGCGGUGGAAUGCGCAGAUAUCAGGAGGAACACCGGUGGCGAAGGCGGGUCUCUGGGCAGUAACUGACGCUGAGGGGCGAAAGCGUGGGGAGCGAACAGG
rnacentral:rRNA from 1 species